rnacentral:rRNA from 1 species
AGAUUGAACGCUGGCGGCAUGCCUAACACAUGCAAGUCGAACGGGUUCAGUUCCUUCGGGGACUGAGCUAGUGGCGGACGGGUGAGUAAUGCGUAGGAAUCUACCCACGAGUGGGGGAUAGCCCGGAGAAAUCCGGAUUAAUACCGCAUAUGCCCUACGGGGUAAAGCGGGGGACCGAAAGGCCUCGCGCAGCAGGAUGAGCCGAUGUCCGAUUAGCUGGUUGGUGGGGUAAAGGCCUACCAAGGCGACGAUCGGUAGCUGGUCUGAGAGGAUGAUCAGCCACACUGGGACUGAGACACGGCCCAGACUCCUACGGGAGGCAGC